GGACGAACGCUGGCGGCGUGCCUAAUACAUGCAAGUCGAGCGAUUGGUGCUUGCACCAGAGCGGCGGACGGGUGAGUAACACGUGGGUAACCUGCCCAAGAGACUGGGAUAACACCUGGAAACAGAUGCUAAUACCGGAUAACAACACUGACGCAUGUCUAGAGUUAAAAGAUGUUCUUAUCACUCUUGGAUGGACCUGCGGUGCAUUAGCUAGUUGGUAAGGUAACGGCUUACCAAGGCAAUGAUGCAUAGCCGAGUUGAGAGACUGAUCGGCCACAUUGGGACUGAGACACGGCCCAAACUCCUACGGGAGGCAGCAGUAGGGAAUCUUCCACAAUGGACGCAAGUCUGAUGGAGCAACGCCGCGUGAGUGAAAAAGGGUUUCGGCUCGUAAAGCUCUGUUGGUAGUGAAGAAAGAUAGAGGUGUAAGCCUUUAUUUGACGGUAAUUACUUAGAAAGUCACGGCUAACUACGUGCCAGCAGCCGCGGUAAUACGUAGGUGGCAAGCGUUGUCCGGAUUUAUUGGGCGUAAAGCGAGUGCAGGCGGUUCAAUAAGUCUGAUGUGAAAGCCUUCGGCUCAACCGGAGAAUUGCAUCAGAAACUGUUGAACUUGAGUGCAGAAGAGGAGAGUGGGACUCCAUGUGUAGCGGUGGAAUGCGUAGAUAUAUGGAAGAACACCAGUGGCGAGGCGGCUCUCUGGUCUGCAACUGACGCUGAGGCUCGAAAGCAUGGGUAGCGAACAGGAUUAGAUACCCUGGUAGUCCAUGCCGUAAACGAUGAGUGCUAAGUGUUGGGAGGUUUCCCCUCUCAGUGCUGCAGCUAACGCAUUAAGCACUCCGCCUGGGGAGUACGACCGCAAGGUUGAAACUCAAAGGAAUUGACGGGGGCCCGCACAAGCGGUGGAGCAUGUGGUUUAAUUCGAAGCAACGCGAAGAACCUUACCAGGUCUUGACAUCCAGUGCAAACCUAAGAGAUUAGGUGUUCCCUUCGGGGACGCUGAGACAGGUGGUGCAUGGCUGUCGUCAGCUCGUGUCGUGAGAUGUUGGGUUAAGUCCCGCAACGAGCGCAACCCUUGUCAUUAGCUGCCAUCAUUAAGUUGGGCACUCUAAUGAGACUGCCGGUGACAAACCGGAGGAAGGUGGGGAUGACGUCAAGUCAUCAUGCCCCUUAUGACCUGGGCUACACACGUGCUACAAUGGACGGUACAACGAGAAGCGAACCUGCGAAGGCAAGCGGAUCUCUGAAAGCCGUUCUCAGUUCGGACUGUAGGCUGCAACUCGCCUACACGAAGCUGGAAUCGCUAGUAAUCGCGGAUCAGCACGCCGCGGUGAAUACGUUCCCGGGCCUUGCACACACCGCC
rnacentral:rRNA from 1 species